CCACAGCCCAGCAUGCCAGCAGCGAGCAAGUUGGACAAAUCUUUGAACAGAACAAUUGAAGUGUUUUGGUUUGGUUUGGUUGGAAGACUAUACUAGCUUGCCAGAGGGAAUUCAGAGGAAACCAGAGUAUUUUCCCAAAGAGAAGGUAA
rnacentral:lncRNA from 12 species